rnacentral:lncRNA from 1 species
UCACAAGAAAACAAAUACAAAGUGUGGUCUGAACCUUAUUCUCAUUUGAAACAUAACACAGAAUCACUCGUGGUUAUGGUUUCUUAUCAUAUUCUUCUUUUUCUUUGCCACUUUUAUUACAACUGCCACAUAAAUCUCGUCAACAAUAUCUUCAACCCAUCUGAAGUAAGCAUGUCUCCAAUUCUUCUUGAACCACAAAGUGCCAAUAACUCCCCAUAAGCCAGUUGCAAAACCGAGCGCUAUGACGAAGUAGAACCAUACUUUUUCUACCCCAUCUUCAUCUUCAUCUUCAUCACCUUUUGUUUGAGAAGUUCCAUGUGAAAUAUGACCAGGACACUUAUUUAGGAGUGGAGAUCCACAAAGGUAUGGAUUGUUGGCAUAAAUAUACGGGUCAUCCAAAGUUAAAAACUGAUUAUCUUUGGGAAUUGAUCCUGAAAGGUUAUUGUACGACAAGUUCAAAUGACUCAAUGAAGUUAAAGCAGACAUGGUACUGGGAAUUGUGCCUGAAAGUUGGUUAUGAGACAGGUCCAAGGAUUCUAGUGAUUUCAUGCGUCCCAUCAAUUGAGGAAUCUCUCCUUUCAAAUGAUUUCUUGACAAGUUCAAGCCAUGCAGUCCUGUGAGCCAUGUGAUUUCAUUUGGAAUGAAUCCAACCAAAUUGUUUUGUGACAAGUCCAUGUUGACCACAAGCUCCAAUAUUUUGGUAUACUCAAGUUCUGUUCCUUUCACUACUUCCGUGACAAAUUGACUAGGCCAAUCAACCGGAGUACUAGGAGGUAAUGCAUUGACAUCUGUAAGAAACUCAUUUGACCAUGUCUGAGGAGCAUCUGCUAUUAAAUUGUAUGACUGCAUAUGAACUGAUGAUGAUGUUGAUUUUCCCAAUGUCAUUCCUUCAAGGUUUCCUAUGCAUCGAGGUAUUGAACCUUGCAAUUUGUUUCUAGAGAGGUCCAGAAUUUGGAGUGAUUUGAGUUGACAUAGUUGUGAAGGAAUACUAGCGCUAAACAUAUUUUGUCGCAAUAUAAGAAUUUGCAAUGAAGGGAAGGUGUUUGCUGUCCAUGAUGAUGGUAUACUUCCAGAUAGUUGAUUGUUACCAAGAUCCAAAAUCAACAAUUUCUUCAAAUUUCUAAAAGACCCUGGAAGCUCUCCUUGAAGGUUGUUAUCUUUCAAAUGCAACCAAUACAGUGAGGAAAGAUUCCCGAAUGAGCUUGGAAAUGCUCCAGUUAGUUUGUUGGAUGACAAAUUUAUC